GCACAACCUGCUCAAAUAACGUGUUUGUUCUUUUAACUUGUUUACUAUCAAGGUACCUCUGCUGGUAGCUGGACAUAGCCUCCUCCCCCAUCGCCCCAAAAAGGAAGAAGCUAACCAUAAAUAUUAAGGAAGUUAUGAGUAUUCAAUAAAGCCAUCUAGGAGCCAUCUUUCUUUUCUGUGUUAAAAUACAGUUGUAUUUUACAUAUUGAAAAUAACUGCAACAACCACAUACUAUUAUUUUAAUCAGGAAAAUGGGUUAUUCAAUAUAUGCACACGUUGCAGAACACAAUUUCCACAGCAAGCAAUAACUGCAACUACAGGGCCUUAGUUUCAAGGAAAAAUAAACUUUUCCUUCUACUUCAGAUGGGUCAGGCCUAGUCACAUCUUUCGUGAAAAUUAUGAGACAAUAAGGACUAUACACAACUAUACAUGGCAGUAACUUAGAGGAGGGAGG